rnacentral:rRNA from 1 species
GACGAACGCUGGCGGCGUGCCUAAUACAUGCAAGUCGAGCGGACUGAAUGGGAGCUUGCUCUUUUUCGGUCAGCGGCGGACGGGUGAGUAACACGUGGGCAACCUGCCCGCAAGACCGGGAUAACUCCGGGAAACCGGAGCUAAUACCGGAUAACACCGAAGACCGCAUGGUCGUUGGUUGAAAGGCGGCGCAAGCUGCCACUUGCGGAUGUGCCCGCGGCGCAUUAGCUGGUUGGUGAGGUAACGGCUCACCAAGGCGACGAUGCGUAGCAGGACGGAGGGGGUGGGCGGCCAGCCUGGGAGUGAGACACGCCACAGAGGCCCACGGGAGCGAGCCAGAGGGCAACGUCCGCAAGCGGUGAGAGACAGACGGAGAGGGGCGGAGGCAGCGAAGAAGGACGUCGGGUCGUGAAGCUCUGCUGUGAGGGAGGAAGGAGCGCCCGUUGAAGAAGGAGCCGGGGUGACGGUAACUGACGAGGAAGCCCCGGCUAACUACGUG